rnacentral:rRNA from 1 species
UCAGAGCACUAUGGGGAAGCUUGCUUCUCCAGUGUGAUGGCGUACUUUUUGUAGAACGGGCCGGCGAGUUAUGGUCGGUAGCGAGGUUAAGGGACUUUGUUCCGGAGCCGUAGCGAAAGCGAGUCUUAACAGGGCGAUUAGUUACCGGCUGUAGACCCGAAACCGGGUGAUCUACCCAUGGCCAGGGUGAAGCUCGGGUGAUGCUGAGUGGAGGCCCGCACCCACCGAUGUUAAAAAAUCGGGGGAUGAGCUGUGGGUAGGGGUGAAAAGCCAAUCGAACCCGGAGAUAGCUGGUUCUCCUCGAAAUAGCUUUAGGGCUAGCCUCGGGGGUUUAGUUACGGAGGUAGAGCACUGAUUGAGCUAGGGGCCCGACAAGGUUACCGAACUCACUCAAACUCCGAAUGCCGUAACUUCAGACCCCGGGAGUCAGACUACGGGUGAUAAGAUUCGUGGUCGAAAGGGAAACAGCCCAGACCGUCGGCUAAGGUCCCUAAAUGCAGGCUCAGUGGGAAAGGAUGUGGAGCUGCCUGGACAACCAGGAUGUUGGCUUAGAAGCAGCCACCAUUUAAAGAGUGCGUAAUAGCUCACUGGUCAAGUGGUUCUGCGCCGAAAAUGUAACGGGGCUAAGCCUGCUACCGAAGCCACGGUCCAGCACUCAACCGAGGUUGAGUGCUGGAGGUAGGGGAGCGUUCUGCAUGCGUCGAAGCCGUACCGUGAGGAGCGGUGGAGCGUGUAGAAGUGAGAAUGCCGGCAUGAGUAACGAUAAGACAGGUGAGAAUCCUGUUCGCCGCAAGCCUAAGGUUUCCUGAGGAAGGUUCGUCCGCUCAGGGUAAGCCGGGACCUAAGCCGAGGCCGGAUGGCGUAGGCGAUGGAUAACUGGUGGAGAUUCCAGUGCCACCUUAAGGCCGUUAUGAGCGAUGGGGUGACGCAGGAGGGUAGGCGCAGCGCACCGUUGGUUGUGUGCGUCCAAGCGUGUAGGGAGAGCCGGUAGGCAAAUCCGCCGGCUUGUUAAUCCCGAGGCGCGAUGGGGAGCGAAAAUAUGUAGUAGCGAACUGGCCGAUCCCAUACUGCCGAGAAAAGCCUCUAGCCAGGCCUGAAGGUGCCCGUACCGUAAACCGACACAGGUAGGCGGGGAGAGUAUCCUCAGGCGCGCGGGAAAACCCUCGUUAAGGAACUCGGCAAAUUGACCCCGUAACUUAGGGAUAAGGGGUGCCUUUAUUGGUGAUGGGACUUGCUCCCGGAGCUUUUGAAGGUUGCAACAAAGAGGCUGGUGCGACUGUUUAACAAAAACACAGCUCUAUGCUAACUCGCAAGAGGAUGUAUAUGGAGUGACACGUGACCAAUGCCAAAAGGUCAAUGGGAGAGGUUAGCGCAAGCGAAGCUUCGAUCUGAAGCCCUGGUGAAUGUCGGCCGUAACUAUAACGGUCCUAAGGUAGCGAAAUUCCUUGUCGGGUAAGUUCCGACCUG